UCUUGGUCAAUUUAGAGGAAGUAAAAGUCGUAACAAGGUUUCCGUAGGUGAACCUGCGGAAGGAUCAUUACAGAGUUCAUGCCCGAAAGGGUAGACCUCCCACCCUUGUGUAUUAUUACUUUGUUGCUUUGGCGAACCCCAGGGCUCGCCAGAGAAUAUCAAAACUCUUUUUAUUAAUGUCGUCUGAGUACUAUAUAAUAGUUAAAACUUUCAACAACGGAUCUCUUGGUUCUGGCAUCGAUGAAGAACGCAGCGAAAUGCGAUAAGUAAUGUGAAUUGCAGAAUUCAGUGAAUCAUCGAAUCUUUGAACGCACAUUGCGCCCCUUGGUAUUCCGGGGGGCAUGCCUGUUCGAGCGUCAUUUCAACCCUCAAGCUCAGCUUGGUAUUGAGUCCAUGUCAGCAAUGACAGGCUCUAAAAUCAGUGGCGGCGCCGCUGGGUCCUGAACGUAGUAAUAUCUCUCGUUACAGGUUCUCGGUGUGCUUCUGCCAAAACCCAAAUUUUUCUAUGGUUGACCUCGGAUCAGGUAGGGAUACCCGCUGAACUUAAGCAUAUCAAUAAGCCGGAGGAA
rnacentral:rRNA from 1 species